rnacentral:rRNA from 1 species
CACGUAGGGUGCGAGCGUUGUCCGGAAUUAUUGGACGUAAAGCGUCCGCAGGCGGCUUUUUAAGUCUGUUGUCAAAGCCCACAGCUCAACUGUGGAUCGGCAAUGGAAACUGGGAAGCUAGAGUGUGGCAGGGGUAGAGGGAAUUCCCGGUGUAGCGGUGAAAUGCGUAGAUAUCGGGAAGAACACCAGUGGCGAAGGCGCUCUACUGGGCCACAACUGACGCUGAGGGACGAAAGCUAGGGGAGCGAAAGGG